rnacentral:other from 1 species
GAUUGCCUGCCCUGUUUGUGAUGGGUGAAAAUGUUGAUCCAGCAAAUUAGAUCUUUAGGGAGCUUGCGUAAGCGGGACGGUGAGCAUGUCCUCUCAAAAAGAGGAAAGCCUGAAGUCCCCUUCAGGGCACCCACCUGUCGGACAGGCGGAUCUGAUUAUUCACUCGCACGGCAGGGCGGGCUUUUA